rnacentral:lncRNA from 1 species
GUUUUUAUUGAUUGACCUCUAGUCUCCUUUCUGUUGGAGACUGAAUAGAUAUCACAUGGCCUCAGGUCCCCAUGGAACUUCACAUCGUUAAAUAGCCAGUAACAAGGAUAAGUGAAGACACCAGUGUUAGGAAGCAUGGACUAAGCCGACUGCAGAGGCGAGACUUCUCCACGUAUGCAAGGGUCAUGGAGAAUGCACCAGAAGACAGGAG